rnacentral:tRNA from 3 species
GCAGAUAUGGCGGAAUGGCAGACGCAUCAGACUCAAAAUCUGACGAUUUACAUCAUGUGGGUUCAAGUCCCACUAUCUGUA